UACGAAGGGGGCUAGCGUUGCUCGGAAUCACUGGGCGUAAAGGGCGCGUAGGCGGCACAGCAAGUCGGGAGUGAAAGCCCGGGGCUCAACCCCGGAAUGGCUUUCGAAACUGCUGAGCUAGAGUACAGAAGGGGCAACCGGAAUUCCCAGUGUAGCGGUGAAAUGCGUAGAUAUUGGGAAGAACACCUGAGGCGAAGGCGGGUUGCUGGGCUGAUACUGACGCUGAGGCGCGAAAGCCAGGGGAGCAAACGGG
rnacentral:rRNA from 1 species